CCUACGGGAGGCAGCAGUGGGGAAUAUUGGACAAUGGGGGAAACCCUGAUCCAGCAAUGCCGCGUGUGUGAAGCAGGCCUGCGGGUUGUAAAGCACUUUCGGUUGGGAAGAAAAGUUUGGCGCCAAUACCGCCGAACCUUGACGUUACUGACAGAAGAAGCACCGGCUAACUCUGUGCCAGCAGCCGCGGUAAUACAGAGGGUGCCACUGUGCGUCGGAAGCACUUAGGGGAACACGUGCGUAGGGUGUGAAAUCCCCGGGCUUAACCUGGGAACUGCAUUCGAUACUACAUGGCUAGAGUAUGGUAGAGGGAAGCGGAAUUUCCGGUGUAGCGGUGAAAUGCGUAGAUAUCGGAAGGAACACCAAUGGCGAAGGCAGCUUCCUGGACUAAUACUGACACUGAGGCACGAAAGCGUGGGUAGCAAACAGGAUUAGAUACCCCAGUAGUC
rnacentral:rRNA from 1 species